rnacentral:ncRNA from 1 species
GCAGGGCCCGGUCACCGGGCUCCCGGACGAUGGGUGCCGUACCCGGUCAGCGACAAGACGGCCCAGG